CUGGCUCAGAACGAACGCUGGCGGCGUGCUUAACACAUGCAAGUCGAACGCGAAAGGGACUUCGGUCCUGAGUAAAGUGGCGCACGGGUGAGUAACGCGUAGAUAACCUGUCUUCAUGUCUGGAAUAAUACGCCAAAGGGGUACUAAUACCGGAUAUUCUUGCUUUUCAUAAGUUAUGCAAGCAAAGGUGGCCUCUGCAUAUGCUACUGCAUGAAGAGGGGUCUGCGUACCAUUAGCUAGUAGGUGGGGUAAUGGCCUACCUAGGCGACGAUGGUUAGCGGGUCUGAGAGGAUGAUCCGCCACACUGGCACUGGAACACGGGCCAGACUCCUACGGGAGGCAGCAGUGAGGAAUAUUGCGCAAUGGGGGAAACCCUGACGCAGCGACGCCGCGUGAGUGAGGAAGGCCUUCGGGUCGUAAAGCUCUGUCAAGAGGAAAGAAGUGUACAAUGGCUAAUACCUGUUGUAUUUGACGGUACCUCUAAAGGAAGCACCGGCUAACUCCGUGCCAGCCGCGGC
rnacentral:rRNA from 1 species